rnacentral:rRNA from 1 species
UACGUAGGUGGCAAGCGUUGUCCGGAUUUACUGGGCGUAAAGGGCGCGUAGGCGGCCAGCACAAGUCAGUUGUGAAAUCUCCGGGCUUAACUCGGAAAGGUCAACUGAUACUGUGCGACUAGAGUGCAGAAGGGGCAACUGGAAUUCUCGGUGUAGCGGUGAAAUGCGUAGAUAUCGAGAGGAACACCUGCGGCGAAGGCGGGUUGCUGGGCUGACACUGACGCUGAUGCGCGAAAGCCAGGGGAGCGAACGGG